rnacentral:snRNA from 1 species
GGAUGUGAGGGCAAUCUGGCUGCAACAUCUGUCACCCCACUGAUUGCCAGGGUUGAUCUGGCUGGCUAGGCGGGUAUCCGCUUCCUCCCUCACCGCUCCAUGUGUGUCCUUCCCAAAGCUGUGUGCUCGGACAAAGAGGAUGACCUUCCCUGAUAGAGGAGGGCCGUUCCUUGGUCAAGGGUAUAUGAGUAGGUGUGCUCCCCCCUAGAACCUCCAAACAAACUCUCAAGACAAAAACAAGACCACUCCAUAACCAUGUCUGAACACGGACAGAAUAU